rnacentral:rRNA from 1 species
UACGGGGGGGGUAAGCGUUGUUCGGAAUUAUUGGGCGUAAAGAGCUCGUAGGCGGUCUGUUACGUCUGCUGUGAAAACCCGGGGCUUAACCCUGGACUUGCAGUGGGUACGGGCAGACUAGAGUGUGGUAGGGGAGACUGGAAUUCCUGGUGUAGCGGUGAAAUGCGCAGAUAUCAGGAGGAACACCGAUGGCGAAGGCAGGUCUCUGGGCCACUACUGACGCUGAGAAGCGAAAGCAUGGGGAGCGAACAGG